AAUACCGCAUAACACCAUUUGGAGACAUCUCCAGGGGGUCAAAGGAGGCGACUCCGGCAUAGGAUGGCCAUGCGUCGCAUUAGCUAGUCGGCGGGGUAACGGCCCACCGAGGCGACGAUGCGUAGGGGUUCUGAGAGGAAGGUCCCCCACACUGGUACUGAGACACGGACCAGACUCCUACGGGAGGCAGCAGUGAGGAAUAUUGGUCAAUGGGCGCAAGCCUGAACCAGCCAAGUCGCGUGAGGGAAGACGGUCCUAUGGAUUGUAAACCUCUUUUGUCGGGGAGCAAAGCGCGGUACGAGUACCGUGAAGGAGAGUACCCGAAGAAAAAGCAUCGGCUAACUCCGUGCCAGCAGCCGCGGUAAUACGGAGGAUGCGAGCGUUAUCCGGAUUUAUUGGGUUUAAAGGGUGCGUAGGCGGAUUUGUAAGUCAGCGGUAAAAAUGCGGUGCUCAACGCCGUAUCGCCGUUGAAACUGCGGGUCUUGAGUGAGCGAGAAGUAUGCGGAAUGCGUAGUGUAGCGGUGAAAUGCAUAGAUAUCACGCAGAACUCCGAUUGCGAAGGCAGCAUACCGGCGCUCAACUGACGCUGAGGCACGAAAGCGUGGGGAUCGAACAGGAUUAGAUACCCUGGUAGUCCACGCAGUAAACGAUGAAAGCGAACUGUCCGGUCCGCUUAAGGGCUGGGUGGUAUAGC
rnacentral:rRNA from 1 species